rnacentral:lncRNA from 1 species
CUCUAUCAAGGUCAAUUAAAAGAAUAACUAAUAAGCAAAGGAAAGGAAGAAAGAUAUCUUUUAUUCAAUGUCAUGGUCACAAUCAUGUGCCUUAUAACUAAAAUUUACACAUUGGUCAUGGAGGUCACAAUACUUUGAUAUCCACCAAAGCUCCACACUACCAAGGUUGCAAUCUCAACUUUUAUAUUCAUAUUCAUCUACAUAAGUCACACAAAGUCACACAAAGCAUUACGAAUUACGAAGUUCACUAGAUCAUGUAUUCGCUAGAUCACACGGCAGCAAAACCAGAAGAAGACGAACAAAAAAGUAACAGCUGAAGCCACCGCAAACCUAUUUCAAGUCACAGAUGCAAUCCAAUUAAUGCUUUCAUGACCUCUGGGUAGAAAUCAUACGUAAAUUCUAACCAUGGAGGAACAUGGACAAAGUAACGACGAGCGUCCACUUCAAAUUGCUCAGGGGCAAGAACGAUCCUCCACAUCCGGAAAGAAAACAACACCUCAAUAAUCGGGGUAAUCAACACGCAGUAUGAAAAGAUCAGCUGGGCAGAUGAAGUGGAAUCGAAAACUGACAGCGGUACAUACGUAGAGCAGAAUCGGUGUCUGAGAGAUGGAAAUCUGCAGAGCGAGAGAGAGAGAGAGAGAGAGAGAGAGAGCAGCAACGCCAGAGAUUGCACAAGAGCGAGAAGCGCAAUCAAAAACCUCGACGACGAAACAGGGGAAGCUCUCCGGAACCCUACCGGUCCUUGCUUUGUCAACUGAGAGCCUUGCGUUCCAUUUCUGGUGGCGCGGUCCUUCUCGUUCUCCACAACGUGCGUGUCGAUCAGAUCUGUGUUGCGGUCACGACAAAGGUAAUCUUGCUGUAGGUAGCCCGUCCUUAGAGUCGCUUGUUGAAUUGGUGUUAUUAAGAUGGUUAUUGCGAGUUUGUCAUUUAGGUUGUCUGAAGGGUUACGCGGUCGAACAAAGCAGUCUGAGCAGAGAACGCGUGAAAUACAGAAUUGUGAAACAUAAGCACACUGUUAGAUCAUGAAGUAAAUGAUGACCUAUGCUGGUUCCGUAUGGAUUGGACUAAGUAUUGGCACAAGGGCAGAAUUGUCGCGUCGGAGGAAGUGAUCACGUGGGACGGAGAAAGGCAUGACGCUGGCGAUGUUGUCACGCACUGGAACAAUAUCUCAUCCUUCAUCCGGGCUGACGAGAGAAAAUUAGGGCCACCAUUUUGCCAGAUGGUGGCUCUUGUUACUGUUCAUGGUUUGUAAUUUCACUUGCCAUCGUACAAACUGGAAAGCAAUAUGGAUGGAUGGAGAUGGAAUGGCUAAAGACAAGAUUGGGUAGGUGAAAUUGCGACCCAGACGCUGCAGCUCAUGUAGUGCCCACGUCUCGCCUAUCUUUCCCUUUCGCUGCUUAGCGUAUUUGACCUACCUGCCCGCGCUCUCUGUGGCACUGGCUUGGUUGAUCCUUUGGCGACCACACACGAGGUCCAUCAUUUGCUGGCUUCUUUAGCAAGCUUUCCGAGAACCCUUCCCGUGCCUAGUUUGGUUUGGCGUGUCUUUGGGUUCUGUUUCUGACGUCUGAUGGCAGGAGGGGGAUUUGAGGAUUCGCAGGGUAGCCUACCCACAGCAUCAUGCUUGGCUGAUUCCGUCUAGUGUUUGCGCCUUGAUGGGUGCAUGAGUCGAAGUUCCAUGUCCACUCAAUCCAUUCAGCUUGGACUUUCUCUGUGUGGCUAUUAUUCCCGGUAAAGGUGACCCGAGGAUCCCUUUCGUCUGGUUUGGUAAUAGGAUUUUUGUAUUGGAAUCUACGCUCAUCACGUGUAUUGCGGAGGUCAGUCAUGCUCACCUCGCCAGCCCACGGCCAUGCCUUCCGUACUUCGGUGCUCGAAUCUCUUUUGCCCCAGGUUCGCUGCUGCCGUUGCGCCUCACCUCGCCACCGGCAGUCGACGCUCAAGACCGACAUCAACAUUCUUACGUAAAUUCUCCACAACGGUACGUCCAUGUCACGGAGGAGAUAGAGCGGCUUCCAGAUUUGGGGAAAUGAAGGUUGCGAAGGAAGGAAAGAAUCAACCUUUCAGCUUGACGUUGUCCUCGACGGAUUCGGACUCCCAAUCCGACGAUGUUUCUGCCCUUUCUCAUGUGAGGCGACGACGCCUUUUUUCCUUGUCAUUUUCUUCUCCUGAUCUAUGCAGGGAGACUAGGGCGAGGGCAGGGCUUGGAACACUUUAGAAUGCGGGGUGCCACAUUUUUUUAGUGUCAUAGUUUAAUGAGCUACAGAAUUUGGUAUUCUUUCCAUGCACUUUAGAUACUCGAUUUUGGGUAACUUUGAACGGUGAUUGACAGAAUACUUGUAUAGCUCGGCAGCAAUGCAAUUCCAAAGAAGUUGAACCAAUCGAAUGGAACUCUAGCUCGCAGUUUACACUCAUCUAUCCUUAGGCACAUUAUUGCAUUCCCGACAAUACAGUUUUUCGACGAAAGAAUUUGAAUUUGCACCUUGAAAGUAUUGGGAUGCUGUGUGUGUUUGUGUGUGAAAAACCUGUGGUAGCUCUUAGCUUCAUCUCUAUCCAUACAGUGAACGGAGGUGCACUGGAUAUUAGAGACCCCCAACUUGAAGCUUACCUUCCCAAAUCGCUUUUAGUGAUAUGAUCUGGAGUUCUUUAUAAGAAAUGGAUAGCACUAGGCCUCCUCACUUCAAGGCAGGGUUGCUCUUCGCAUCUACUUAUUGUGACUUGGAAUAUGUACUCAGAUUAUGGAGCCCAUUCAUGAGGGCGAUACAGACUUGCUCUUGGUGUUCUGUCCAGGAACAUUUCAAACCUCGGAGAACUACUUCCCAUUGAUGCACACGAUACAAUCCCAACUUAAGCUGCGGCUGUGGAUCGUCGUGUUGCACAAUACCGACCAAGAUGUACUGAGCACAUCCAAAGUCGACGCCAGCCUCACGGGUGUGUUGGCACUUUUGAAGGAACGUGGGUAUCGCCCUGGCAGCAAUGAGAUUGAAAAUAUAUUUGUAGCUGGCCACAGGUGCGUUUUCGUUGAGAUUCCCCAUGCUCUUCGCGUCACAAGUUUGCAUGUGAUACGUUGCAAACCUAUCAGGUUCAACUUGGCCAUCUCCGUUUCAGUCCCAAUGGUAAUGAGUGGUAUUUCGGGGAAUGUCCAGCUUUGGGGCAUGGGUAUCGAGGGCAGUGGCCGUGAGACGAGCACAAGCGUUUAUUCAGAUAGGAUGUUACUUCGAUUCAGAAAAUGACAACCUCGCUCAACAUCCCAAGCCCGUGCUCACUCUGUGUGGCGCACUCGACGGCCAAGUGACACUGGCAGCAAUUGCUAAGCACGCUGGAGAAGUUGCUGCUACCGAGCAAUACCUCGGCCGGUACAACACGUAUGCUGUGAAGCCGGUGAUCUUCAUUUCGGGCAUGAAUCAUGCGCAUGCCUCCAACGGACGUCUGAAUUUGGAACGAGGUGACCUACAAGCAACCAUCAGCAUUGAUGACGCUCGUCAUCGUGUUGCAGAGCUUGUGACCGCAUUCUUGGCAGUGCAGGCGAAAGGCCCGAACGAAGCAGAGGGCGCUCGUGGGCUGGAGAUAUUGACUAGAGGUGUAGAUGACACACAUGCUAGGUACCGGGCGUUAUGGGAAUCGAUAGCAAAUCAAGAAGGAGAUGCUGUUGCGCACCAACUGCACAUAGCCUCGCUUCCUUCAUUAUGCCCUGAAAACAUUACCAGCAUUCACCACGAUUUUCGUGACAAUUUUGUGAUCUCAAAACCAUGGAUUGACACUGGCAUGAACCGAGUGUUCAUUACGACCUACUUAUCCCCUGCCGAGAAGCAAGGCAUCUGUAACUUGUGGGUGAAGAUGAAAAGCCGUGAAGCAUUGUUGCCUCAUUUUGGCGCAGGAGAUGAUGCUGGAGCUCGAUACGACCCAGCAGCAAUUCUAACCUUGGGCAAGGAGAUUAAUACAAAAACCUUCGACGCAGCUUUAUCCUUAGUUUCUGAGGACGCUCGUGAAAAGUUCAUGAAGAUGGGGAAGAAGCUGCAAUUUGUUGACGAUUCGUUAAUGCAAAGCGCUGUAUCCUGGAUUGAGAGCGAUUUGAGCUUUACUCCCACCGAAAGUGGCGAUGUCGAAGUGAGAACACCUAUUCUAUACAGCCCUGCGAAUAUAAAUCCUCGCUUUGCAGGUAUGCAUUACAUGAAAGUCCUGACCCUCGCGAGGGCCAUCCAUUGGAUUCUACUCAGUUCGUUUCGGUGAAUGCGAGGUCAGCAGGUGAUCAGUUUUCGAAUCGUGCACCCGCAUCUCAAGGUCAUCUAAUCUCAUCUGUAUGUAAGUCCUGUUUGUCAGUAAAAACCUUAAUACCAACACUCUUCUACGCCAUUGUCAGCACCGCACAUAUUUAUCUCUGAUGCGAGGCUGAGAGUUUGCACACUGUCAUUCCCAAUCGUAUGACAGCUUGUAGUAACAGCACAUCACAAAGUAUGCAGCUCACCAAAGAACGUAUCAAAAUAGCACACGUUAUUUUGCGUCCAGAUGGGUUAUUCCAAGCUGACAUUAUGUCAUGAUAUUGACGUAAAUUAAUUGCGUAACUGGUGAUAAGCUUUUUAUUCUAAACAAUACAGCCACCUGACAUCUUGAGAUCUGACUGUACUUAAACAAUCACACCUUAGAAAACUCCCUUGUGAAUUUUAAAACUGUGUGCAAGCUGAUGACUGGGAAUUACUGUUUAUCAAUUCGAGAAAACUCUUCGAAAGUCCUCUGGUGCUCCAGCAACGCGCCGCUUCAAUCAAUGCACCUUCAACCACGGGAGUCCCCACCGUGUGCGCAGUGCGGAUGAGAAAAUGGUUCAUAUCAAUGUAAACCUCGUCACUGUCCACAAAAAUGUUCCUGCAGCACUUGAUGCUGCUUGCCGCUUUCAUGUCACUUUAGGCCUUCGCUUCACGAUUUCAGCUGCCCAUGCUUUUCCAAGAUCGGUUUGAAAUUUUCCUGAACCCGCAUCGUUUCCACAAGGUUACUGAAGUGUCCAAGCCCAGAAUCCAACUUGAAGAUAGUAACAGAGCCAACCAAAUCAGACAUCUAUGCACCCUCGUUUGACUCUUUUGUCUUCUGUCUGUUGAGAUAAAUCCUAAACUACCGAUUCAUUUAAAUCCGACUCACUACCGACAGCUGUAUUGCACUAAAAUUACAGCCAAACACCUCUCAGAUUAAAAGACGCGUCUAAGCCAAACAAACUGAAAAACACCUAGAGCUAUGAGGCUAUGAACAAGGCGAAAGUAAAAUGGAGCUACCUUUGGUGGAUUGAAAGAAGUCAUCCAGUACCUUGUCUUGCUCUGCAAUCAUAAACCAGAUUCGUAAAAUCUCCACACAAUAAACUUGAGAAACAUUUAGUUCUUGCAGGAAUCUACCGUACGUUAUUUCUACAGCGUCCUAUCUGAUUAUAGCAUUAGACAUGCAUUAGCAACAUGUCAAGCACUAUCUGUUCACGGACGUCACUUCAGCAAAUAAGUAUACUGGAUUAAGAAUUUUUCACUCACCUUUUUCGUAUUCCACAGCUUGCAAGAUCAUCUCCAACUGCACAAGUGAUCAGUGAGUGGAUGAAUAACCACUUCGCGUAAAAAGCUCCACAACUUUCCUUAUAGUAGCAGAUUGCACUUUCUAGACACAUGCGUUUGUAUAUCCCACGAAGAAAGACUAGUAACACAAGAACAUCCUUCUUUUUAAAGCUAGAUUAUGUUCAUUGUCUUAAAUAAGUCGGUAUGUUGAAUACUUUAAUUAAACACACCUUGUCCAAGUCUUUAACAAAUUUGGCUUCAGGAGUGCUGUUAUUCUCGUACUCCUGCCAUAGCUCCCUCACUUCAUCCGCUGCAUAAUCAAAAUCCAUCAUCAUAACAUAGCUGAAAACGAUACAGUGCAGUACUUAACGUAAAAAUGGUCGAACCCAUGAGUAAGCGCGAUCCUGGAAAGCGUCAAAAGUUACACUGAUACCCACCGUAACGCGCGAUGUUUCCAUAUUUAUUUUCUUCAUGACACAGUUCAAGCUUAACCAGGUCUAAAUUUUCCUCACCUCCCAUUCCACCUUCAAGUAACUGGCACAUUUCAUCGAUUGCAGCACUUUCUAGUCUAUUCUUCUCUUCUUUAGGAACAUUGUCAUUGGGCGUAAUGUCACCCACAAUGGCUGUUAUAAAAAUAAAAGUCAAUGUUCAGUCUGGAGUGAUAAUGCCGCAUGUAUGGUGUAAGUAGACACUAUCUGAACACAAAAAUUAUAUCCGAGGAUGAAAUAAAGCUACUUGAGACAUUUCUAAACAAUAUAAAAACAUCACUGCAUUAAGUGACCUAAUAUGCACUCGAGAUAGGAAAAUUGAACCUUACCCUCGGCAAUGUCAUGCACCACGGCCAUCUUUACACACCUGCAUUGCCAUGAAGGUGAUGAACACCAAGCAAAAUUUUACAAUAAAAAUCUCAAGUAGACACCUACUAUUUGAAUAACUUGCUCGAAAGGGCACAUUCAAUCAACGAAGUGAGAUGAUGCUCACCUAUCUUUGUUCACACCUGGUAAAUCUCCUGAGAUAAUAGCCAUGACUGCCAUGCGGUACAUAUGGUCAGCAAUAGAUUCCGAAUCCUUCACGCCGUGAUUUACCCACCCUGUUCUCUUUGUAGUCUGCAUGGUAAGGGGAAAACAGCAAGGUCACAAACAAGAAGUUUUUAUUACUGUUUUUCAAUUAAAGCACUGUUGAAGUAUACAUAACAUCGACAAAUAUCAGCAACUCGCCUAAGAUCUUCUCUGUCAGAUACAAGCAGGACGAACGGCUAAGUGCAAAGCUCUAGCCCAAAGCUCCAGAAAUAAUCGAUAAGGCAAAAAUUUGGGAAAGUACAUUGCUGAUCAUGUAAAAUUAGCCUUUAAAAGGAAACAAAGAAUUUAAUCCGAAAACCUCCAUUAAUAAUUCCACAUUGGAACAAAAAGAGGCACGAUUCUUCUAUCGGUAGAUACGUUGAUUCCCAAGAGAUGUGAUCAUGUUUGCCAAGGUUGUACGUGUACAGCAGCUUAAAAAUGCCUACACCGGACGGUAGAUUACACCUUGAGUCACUCUAAUGCACCAAUCACGCACAUCACACCUCGAACAUGAGAACGCGAGAUCAAAACCUAAUUCGCCCAGACAACAAUGGUCGUUUCAUGUCAACAUUCCAGAACUUGGGUUCAUGAACCGAAUAUCUGAAAAGCAGACUACAAAUUCGAUUGCCUCACGAUGGAGCUUCGUGCAAUUACUCGAGCACAUUAAUUUUAUUAAAAAAAAGGGGGGGGGGUCCAUAUAUAUUUAAGACCACACUGCAUUUACCUUGAGACGCUGAAUAAGCGUGAGAAACUGGAUCGCGGAAGCAGGCGACAAUGACACGCUAGAAUUAUUUUCGAACGCAGUAGCGCCAUCGCUCCCCAAAGAAUUCAUAGCAGACACUGCUGCGCCCGCUCCAUUCUCGAACUUCAGCGUCGAGAAGCCUCGUAAAAACCACCUGGAGACGGGUAGCGAAGACGCAAGGCCAGCAGCGACGCCAGAGCGCAACAGAGGAGCAGCAGGCACAGAAGAAGAAGAAGAAGAAGAAGAAGAGAGUCCCUCGUAUGAGGAGGGGAAGGAGGACGGGGAGGAGACGCGCAGAUGCGGAAUUCUUCGGUGCCAGGAGGAGCAGGAGGAGGAGAGGGACGCUGCGAGAGGCAUGCGCACCAGCAGCACGGCCCCGCCCGGAAGUAGUAGCCCCAUGCCUGCCUGCCUGAAUGAAUGCCUGAAUGCUUCUGCUGGAGCUCCUCGUCGUCCUCCUCCCCCUCCUCCCUCCCUCCGUGUGGCGCGGGCUUCGUCCUCCGCUGCUCUUCUCUCUCUGUUUCUUUCUUUCUUUUCCUCCUCCCCUCCCCGAUUUGUAUUUCUCGCCGUCGUCUCUCUCGCGUGCGCGUGUUUUUGGAGCCCCUUUCGGUGCUCGCAACAAACGUUCCUUGAUGAUAUAAAUAAAAAUAUAGAUAUAUAUAUAUAUAUAUAUGUCAGUGAGUUUUGGCACCCCCGCACCCCCCACCCCCACCCUUUCUCCCAGAGGGUAUGUGUCUCUCUUGGCUACCAGGAGGGAGUGACGGAGUGAGUGAUAGUGAGGGUGUGCGUCCUCUCCCUUCCCUUACACAGUGAGCCAGCCCCCCCCCCCUCGCUCGCUAUUUCUGGUAGUCCGGCCCACUUCGGGCUCUCGCUUCAUAUUCUUCGAAUAUACUAUUACUCCGGAGAAGAAUGUGUGAAUAUGGCGUAAUACUCUGUAACAAAAUAAAAUAACUAAAUGUUUGGAAUAGAUUUCUAUUGGAUGUGUAAAUGUACUGAAGAACAGUUCUAUACUUCACUUAAACUUGAAAAUUGGUAUCAGAUUGGAUAUAAACAUUGUUACACAUAGACAAACAUAGGGUGUUACUAAUGCCACCACUGCUUUUUCUACUACCAUUUGCCAUUCACCUCACACCAUAGUUUUUGCUAUUGGCACCACAACCCACCAUCCUCUGAACAUAUUUUUUUUUAUUAUUUUUAUUCCAAUCAAAAAAUAUGUUAAUAUUUCAAUCUUUUUUUCAAUUUAUAUAUAAAAAAAUAGUUUUAAUUUUAAUUUUAAAAAUUAAUUGAAAAGUUAAUAUGAAUAAAAAGUUGUGGUGGCAAGAACAAAAGUUAUGGUAACAUGAGAUGAUUGGCAAAAUGUGGUGGCAAUAACAAAAAUUGUGAUGGCAUUAGCAACAUCCUGUUUAAUAUUUUGUUUUUGUUUUACUCAAUGAUUGAAAGUGUCAUUGCUUCAAGACAUAAAUUCCUUUUAUCCAAACUCAGAACAAAAAUCUUUUAAAAAAAAUAUAAACAUAAAAAAAUUCAUAUUCCUGAUUGAACUGAAACAAGUAUUGAAGAUAAAAUUAACAAUCAUGUUCUUAUUAUAUCCUCUAACAAAUUUUUAAAAUAUACAGUGUAAAAAUAGUGUGAAAUUAGUAUUAUAAUAUGUGGCACAGUUGAACAAUAAGUAGUAACACAAAAUCCAAAGUUUUUACAAGCUACCAUUUGAAUGAUUGUAAUAUAAAAUUUUAUUAUACUUAAUUUUGAGAAUUUUAAUAAAAUCAUACUAGAGUAAGCAUUAUGGUACAAUAUAUGUUACCUUCAAUUACAUGAUGCAUCAUAUUUUGUCAUAAUUAAUUUCUUUUUACUCAAGAAAAAAUUAUGCAUAAUAUUACUGGUUAAAAUUUAGAUGGUCAUAAAUGUCACAAAUACCAACUUUUGGUACCAUUUAUACACACACACACAAGGUUUUAACACUACAAGCCUCUCUGUACACAUAUAAAAUCAAAAUCAAAAACAUUUGUACCCAAGUUCUAAAAAAACAAACAACUGGUAUCUAAUCAUGAAAGAAAGGCAUAAAUAGAUGUGGUAUUGAGAACACUUUUAGAUAUGACAACUCUUUUUUUGGUUUUAUUUGUGACUCUUUUCUUAACCUCUUAAUGAGUUGACACAAUCAUCAUAAUAUCUAAUUCUAUGCUCUGAAAGUGUUAUCUACCAUCUGUUGUGGUGUUAUUGUAAAAAACUUCUACUUUUUUAUGGCAGCAACAAAUUGUUUCUUGAAAAAUCGAAAAAAAUUGCUUAAACAGUUGUCGUUAGUAAUUUAUGUUUUCUAAAAACUGUAGUAUUGAAUUUCAUUAAAGUACAAUAGUUUUUUAAUAUUCAUGAACUAUCUACUUUUAAAUUUAUAUUGUGCCAAUCUUGAUCGGAAUACUGUAUCUGUAGAAUUGCAAUUUAUAUAAAGAUUGACAUGACCAAAAAAUUGUAAUUUUGUACAGAAAAUGUAUAAGAUAACAAAUGAAUUGAUGAAUACAAUACAAUAAAUAAGAUUUACACUUCCCUCUUUUAGGAAAUGAAAGUUUUUUCUUUUUUUCAAGUUUUGUAUCAACUUAUGAUUUCAUUAGUACAACAAACAAUCAUAAUUGUGCACUUAUAAUUAUAAUUGAAGUGCUGCAAAAUGGUCUCGAUAAAUUUGAUGCAAUAAAAUUGAGGUUUAAUGGAUUUAUUAACAGAAUAUGACUAAUCAUUAAACUUCAAAAGUAAAUUUUUCUAAUUUAACCACCUACAUACAUAUUUACCAGAAGUAUAUUUUUUAACCAAUAUUAUGUUGUUUGUUGUUGUUUUUUGAAGUUGAAGAAUCAAAUUUUAGCAACAUGAUAAUUUUCCUAGAUUAAUUUUAUUGUAUUUGUUGUAGACAUAAUGCAAUGUGCACAGCAACAUAUAUGAUGGUGUUCUGUAAUAGAUUUGUUACUCUAUGUUGGUAUGUGUAUUUCAAAUUUAACAUCUAUCAAUUCACAUCAAGUAGAGUAGUAUUGUAUGCAUUGAUGAAAUGUUUGUACAGAUAACAAAUAAAAUAAAUAUUGAAUCCAAUUGUUUCUCAAACAUGAAAUCAACCUCAAUAGUUACUAUUUUAAACUAAAAAGGAACCAUAUAUCGCUGAAAAUAUAUAUUUUACGAGUAGUAUGCAAAUAAUAUGAUUGUGGUUAAUUGUGAUUACCCAUAUAAAUAACUUUAUUACUUUUAUCGAGAGACACAAACAAGAAAGAGUACAAAAUAAAUACACGUGAUGAGGGUUACGUCAAGAAGUAGCAUAAAAAAAAGCCACUAUUGCAUGCUUGAUUUGAUCAAGAAAAAACAACAAUAUUGGCAAUAAAUUUGUUUAUAAAAAGGCAUUGAAUGUAACCAAAUUACUUAGAGGGUGUAGCUAAAAGAAGAAAUAUCCAUCAUGUAUGUAUGAAAAAUAACAACACAUGACAAUCUGCUGAAAAGUUCAUGAAAUUGUUCCCUCAAAAUAAAUAUAGAUAUGCAGAGUAUCACUAAUUUCAAAAAAAAUAAAAAUAAAAAUGGAUUUCUAUGAUAUGCAUGAAGUAUUUUGCAAAGAAGCACACCGUGACAAAUAUGUGGGAAAUAAUCAUCAAAAUUAAAAUACAAAAUGAACACUUGUGGGUUGACCAUGAACUCAUUCACGUUUAUUUUAUAUUUCAAUCCUAACAUUCAAUAAUAUUAUUUAACAAAUUGCUAAUUGCAAAAUUGGAACUGCCAGCCCCACAGAUUGCGCAACAUCAUACCAUAUGGCAACAAUUACCAUUAUCGGGGUAAGGGUAGAGAACGCUGAAUUGAGUGUGCACAAGGUUGACGACCACGGAGGGAUUCGAACCCUCGACCUUCAGAUCCGAAGUCUGACGCGCUAAUCCACUGCGCUACGCGGCCUUAGGGCUUGUCGGCGGGAUAGAGUGAUAAUUUAAGAAUAUUAUAUCAGUUGAUCGAAGGCAGCAUGUCUUUAAAUCGAUAGCCAGAUUUUGUGCUUUGUUUCCCCAACUUUGGGCACUUCAUGCCUGCUAUUGAAAGAAUAGUUUAUUUAUUUAUUUAUUUAUUCAUUCAUUCAUUCAUUUAUAUAUAUAUAUAUAUAUAUUUUUUUUUUCAAGUAUUUUCAUUGUCCUGUCAAAUUUGUUGUUGUUGUUGUUGGUUUUAUUUAUUAUUUUGUUUGUGCAUUUGAAUUUCGAUUAUUUUUGUACCAAAGAGUGCACAACAGCAACUCGCGAUUCUUCGAUGCGUACACUGUUGUAAUAUGACAAGCCCCAAAGGUAUACGUGCAGAAAGUUUGCAGAAAACACUGUUAACACUAAUGCCAUCCCUUCCCAAAAAUAUCAGUUACAGAGGACCUGACAUACAGAAUACUUCUUUCUGUAGUUUAUGAUAUACAUAGAUAGAUAUUUUGUUAAGGCAUGUAAUGAAUACAGAUUGUGAGUGUUCCAUUGAGGAACACCACCAGCGAUGGCAAGGCCUCUUCAUGAGGCCCCUACAUGCGAUCUUGAGAGCUGCAUCCACUUUGACACCAAACCCAGCACAAUGCAACACUCCGUUUGUUUGAUUGUUUGAUGGCGCCAUCUACCUCCGCCUAACCUUAUAACAGGCAGCUUUACCGACAGAUCUGGCUCCGCCCCCAGCGCCGCGGCAUCCUCCGCCACGGCGAAUGGCAUCACAUCCUGAAACACCGCACUCCGCAGAGCACCCAUUCCGGAUGAUCAGGAAAUCAUGGGGGCGGGGAGAGUUUCUCGCAUGGCUCUGUCCAACAGGAUGACCAAUGGCAAGCCAUCGCUAACUUCGGAGAGACCAGUGCCUCCAUCUGCGCUGUCUUAUGCUGUCACAUUGUCCGCAGAUUCUAACAUUGUGCGAUGAGAAGCUCCUAUCGUAUGAUAAUUGUAUGUACAAGCAAUUGCGUUGAUCCGCACUUGGGAUCCUACCAUAUAAGUUCUCUACGUUUCUAGAUUCUAGAUUGAGCCCGUGUAUGCGAUGUCGAGAUUUGGUAACCACCGACGUCCUUGAAGGAAUUCGUCCACGCCGAACUUUUUGGCUUGUUCGGGGUACAGAAUCCUGCUCCACGGGACUCGAAGUUUGGCAUCCGAACCUGCACCAAAAUUAGCAUACUCGCCAUAGUCGACGUGAAGCAUUGAAGAUAUCUGUGCAUUCCACAACGUCCAUCCUUCGGCGGUCACCACUUUGCCUAAGCUCGAUUUGAUGUACAUUGUCCUUGCAUACUGGUGCCUCGGUCGCCCUAAAUAAGCAGUUCCAGCUUCGACCGAAUCUGAUGCAGCAUCGAUCGCACAUGCUUCGAAGACGAGCCCCGCGAAUUGCUGAACCAAAGGCGAGGCGAUGUCGCUUGCGGUGAAGGUGAUCAUAUCAUCAGGAUUGGGGGGUUUUGCUUGCAGGGUGCACUGCUGGAACACCGCGGCUGCGCUCCCAAAUACGAGGUCGACGGUGCCAACAAUCGUGCAAGAAGUGUAAAAUUGCCAAUUGACGUGUGCGUAGAGUGCGUUCUGAGUUUCAAGUGUCCAGAAUGUGGCACAGUAAGCACACGUCGACAGUAAUUUGUAGUGUAGCACGCAUUAUAAAACUCUGAUUCAUUUAUUUAAAAAUAAUCAAUAAACAAUAGACACAGAGUGAUGUUGUGAAAUGGGCAAGAGUACCUACCUGGUAACCUUCAAUGAAGACGUAUGCGAAUGCUGACUGAUGCGAGGUCACUCGAAGCGCCACGGCUUGUUCACCACUGGGUUCGGCAGUGUUCCGGAUAGUAAGGGCCUUGGCAACGAAUCCAUUACCAAGAACAGCUGCAAAAACGAAGCUGAUUACGUUGUCCAUCCUUGGAAUUAUUCGGUCAAAUGACUCUCUCUUGUACUCACUUUACUUAAACGUGUGUCUUAAUGUUCAAUAAUCACUCAAUGCAGUUUAUGAGAAAGCUGGGGGCAAUCAAGUUGCACUCACUAACUGUCGCUGUGAAUAUCGUUGACGUCUGAUCAACCGCGACGCUUCUGUUUCCAGUGAUGAUGGUCAUUCCAGCGCCGUCGCCCAAAAGUGUCACGUUUGUUUUGUCCCUUGGCACUUUCACUUGCUCAACAUAGAUUCCUGCCUUUAUGCGUAUUACAUAUCUCUUGCUUGAAUUAGUCGGAGCUUCAUCGAUCGCGGUUUGAAUUGAUUUGUGAUUACCAGAACCAUCGAGAGCGACUACUGAGUCCGGCGUGACGCUGCUGGUGCUGGUGAGUAGCUGUCGGUCUUUCUUGCUCAACCAGGUUGGAAAGACAUCAUGAUUGUCGUCGUCCAUUUCAUAUAUUCUCGUUCGCUCAUCAGGCGACAAUUUCGAAGCUCUAGUCAGCCCUUCCUGCCAUGUCCAGAAGGUUCACAGAGGUUCAAGAGAGGGGAAUAUAUCAAUUAUGGGAGCGCUCGCUCUCAAAAUUUUACACAGAAUUGAACUAAACUACUCACACUCAAACCACUCAAUUUGUUGACCCACACACAGGAGGAUUUUCAAGCCCUUGUGCUCUCAUACCGGAGCUGCUAGAAGGCGUCGUCGGGGAAGCGGGGUGCCUUUUGCGUUCGAACUAUUCAGACGCUGAAGCAGCGACAGUGCAUUUGACAGAAGUUCUGUGUUCCGGUCGAUAUUGACUUCACAUGAAACUUUCCGCUCUCGCAAGCCAUCCACGCAGGUGAAGUGAUAGGUCAAGGCAGCGCUAAGAGCUUGUUCCAGAUCACCCACUUGCGUGACCUCCGACGAAUCCACAGCAUGCAAACAUCUUCUCGUUGCGUCAAGCGUUUCUUGAUACAUCUCCACACACAUUUCCAAAGUCGAGUACUGGAUCCCAAUUCUGGAUGAUGGCCAUGAGUCUCGACACCGCGUAAGGUUAAGAUAUGUUUCAUUUGUGGAUUUAAGAGAGGCUUUCACGGAUUUUGAAGCAACAACUCGCGAAUUUGUCGUGUCUGAUCCAAAAAGUGUGUCGUUGCAUGCGCUUGGAUACCUGUGACGAUUGAGAAAGAUCACACUCCUAUCAAAUCCUUGAUUCAAACAUGUGACCACCUUCAAGGGUCUGUUUGUAAGUGUGUUAUUUGUUUUCUGUAUUUCUGUUCUCGUGUCCAUGAUAUGUGGCGAGUGAGAAAGAGAGAGAGAGAGAGAGAGAGAGAGAGCGUGAACUUACAGGGUGUUAUUGCAGAUGUCAUUUGAAUUAACAAAGAUUGAAUUGUUGUUGCUGCGGGACAUCCUGAAGCCGACAAAACAUCCUACAUACACAGCAGCAACUACGAAGACGACGAAAGCUGCCAUUGCUCUCCGACCCUUCUUCGAAAUCUUUGGGAUUUUCCAACUCUUCUUCUGCUCUUUCGCCUCUGGCUCAUUCUCUUGAUCGGCAUCUCUGAUGCUUGGACAAGCUGCUGCAGCACUGUUGUCCUGUGGGAUACCUUCGACGUCCACAGGCAAGAUCGCCGCGGGCAUAUUUUCUAAAACGUAUCCCUAACGUCCUUAAUCCUGUUAGAUGCUAAAUGCCUCAAUAUCUAAUGCUUCCGAACAUCUUUAACUCUCAAAGCUUCCUUACAUCAAAGACCUUCCACAAACGUCUAAACUUGUGCCCAAAUCGAGGCUCAAAUAACACGGAAUCGGCAUUCGAAACAAUCACUGCUAGAAGGUCUCGCCUUCGACAAGGUAGGCUAGAUCAAAAUCCGAGAACAAUGAGAACGAUAGCUAGGUCCAAAGCGGGUCAUCUCGUAGAAAUCCUCUUCACAAGCGCCACGGCGUCGUUGAAUCUGGUUUUCGCAGAAACUCACAGAUGACAUUUGUGGCGGGGGCAACUUUUGAAGAGAGUAAUCUGUAUGUAAGUUUUUUCUUAUCAGCCAGCUUGUAUCACUUGAAUCGACGCGAUGACCGAACAAACUGAUUCAGCACAAGUCCUACAUGUCGGAAGUCCAAUCACGAGUGAAAUUUCCACCGAGACCAACAUGCGAAGAAACAGCUGAUUAUAUAAUCCAAGAAAUCGUCAUGUCCAUGACAUCAUCACUUCUGAAUGUCAUCCUCCUUCCUGGAUACAGCUGCUCCACUCCGUUCAGCUCAGAAUGGGUCGAGUGCACAAGGGACCACUCGGUGAGAUCAUAGAUCCAUCAAUUUUUUUAUUUUGUUUUAUUUUAUUUUAAUAUAAAAGUCGGACCGCAACUUCCUCAUCCUUCGCAGCAAGGUUUUGCAGAGAAACGAAACAAGUAAGCCUCGUCACACCUCUUUUCCGACUUUCGUAUUGGACAUAAUUAGUAGUGGGUGAAAUGUGAAAAUUCUGCAGGUUGUCGACAAUCAACGUAGACCAAGAGAAAAGUGCGGAGGUGGGAGCAGAUAGCGAGGUGCAUCUUCGACAGUGAAUCACCGUCGCCCGAAAACCCCACUAGAACCGAAUUUGUCUGCAACCUUCCCGAGUCUAACAAGCUUAGCCCAGGACUAGAGUCGGAAAUCGGCCCCAUGCGGGUCACAUGCAACGAGGGUUGAAUUUCCCCCACAUGGCAAAGCUUCGCGGAAGGCAAAAGGAUGUGGACAUUGGAAUCCAUUGCGUGCCUAGCGCGCAAUCGCAGCUCGGGGAUCUUCCAUUCCUGGUCUUGCUCUUCCUCGCCGGAAGAGCAAGACCAGCGGGGCAGCAGCAAUACAAUCACUUCACCAUGAUUUAAGCUCAUUUUAUAAUUUGAUAUUUUAUUAUUAACUAUGCCAAUGGGUAGGUUAUAAAAGUGAUUUCCAGUUCAUUCAUACUAAAGUUAUGACAGGGGCAAGAACACAUGUUGUUUAGUAUUGAUUGUAAUAUUUUUUUUGAAAUAAAUCAAUUGUGUAUGAAAAUGUCUACAUUGGUUGUUGGGUAUGCAAAUGUUGUCGGGUUCAUAGGUUCGAUGUUAGCCAUAUCAUCUUGUAGUUUUUCAAUGAUCUCUUCAAGAUUCACUUUAGGGUGACAUUCAAAGGAAUAUAACUUUGAAAAAAUGGGAGAUGGGAAUCAAUAUGAGCCACUGAAAAUAUAGUGGUUAAAUGCACAUGUGACACUUUUGGUGGAGAAAUAAUCAGUUUCUGUACACAACUAGAGGAUAUCACUCAAUGCACAGAACAAACCUACCACUAUCUGAUUCUAUUGUAUAUUCUUUAAAUGAUUAAUUUCAUUUUUUUACUAUUCUUUUAGCAAGUUAUAUCCUCUUAAAAAAGAAUUCUUGGCAUUUUAUAAUUGGUAUUUGAGUUCUCUAAUAAUUUUCUAUCCACCAAUUCUCUACAUUUUAUGCUACUCAUUGGAGCAAAAACAAUUUGAUUCUAUCUUCUGUAAUACCAUAUGUAAUAUUUAACCACUCUUUCUUAUUUAUUUGUUUAUCUGUCUUUUAAAACACAAUUAUAGUUCAAAAUAGUAUUAUUAUUAUUAUUAUUAUUAUUUUAAUUUAAUACAAGUCUUCUUGUUAUUAAUGUGUAUCAUAUCUUAACCAUACAAAACCACUACAAUAAGCAUUCAAGGUUUUUUUAUAUAUAUAUAUAUAUAUAUAUAUAAUAGUGGGUACUUUAUGAUCUUUUUAAUUUUUUAACUUUUUUUUUCUAUGGCAGAAGUAUCAUUUUAAAACCUCUUUUGAUAAUAUCAUUUUAAAAUUAAACUCUUACAAAUAUAUCCUGUUUCUUUAAAAAAAUAUAUUAAUUUAAUCUAUUUAGAACCAUGUCAGAUAUUUUGAAGAUCUUCAAGUUUAUCUAUUGCAUCAUUACAACAUAUAAACUACAGAUUAAACCUACAGCUCAAAUAGAUAAACAACAAAUGUAAACAACUUAAACAACAAAUGUAUUGCGUCCAGAUAUUUUGAUGUAUGAAUUAAAUAAGGAACUAUUAAAAUUUGAGUAUAUAUAUAUAUAUAUAUAUAUGUUUCUUAAUUGAAUAAUAAAAUGUUGGAAGAAGUAGAAUAGAUAUUGUGAUUUUUUGUGGAAUUAGAAUGAUAACAAGAUAACAAAAAUAAUACUAUGUAAAGAAGAAGAUUUCGUUGAAGUGAAGAGUUGAUAGUAGACCAUAGUUAUAGCCAGGCGUGGCUCUGAAGCCAUGUCAAUUAAUUCGGAUAUGCAGAAACACCAGAAUGAAUUGUGAAAGGGGACACCUUGAAUGAGCUCCAGCCCCAAUUCCAUUCACAGUGUAGCAACACACACAGAACACACACACACUGAACAUCACUUCGAAGCCCCUUUCAAUGCGAGUUUGUCUAAUGUUCCAAGACUCCUAAAUUUUUGGGUACUAAAGUGAGAGGAGCCACCAUCUGGCAAAAUGGUGGCCCUAAUUUUCUCUCGUCAGCCCGGAUGAAGGAUGAGAUAUUGUUCCAGUGCGUGACAACAUCGCCAGCGUCAUGCCUUUCUCCGUCCCACGUGAUCACUUCCUCCGACGCGACAAUUCUGCCCUUGUGCCAAUACUUAGUCCAAUCCAUACGGAACCAGCAUAGGUCAUCAUUUACUUCAUGAUCUAACAGUGUGCUUAUGUUUCACAAUUCUGUAUUUCACGCGUUCUCUGCUCAGACUGCUUUGUUCGACCGCGUAACCCUUCAGACAACCUAAAUGACAAACUCGCAAUAACCAUCUUAAUAACACCAAUUCAACAAGCGACUCUAAGGACGGGCUACCUACAGCAAGAUUACCUUUGUCGUGACCGCAACACAGAUCUGAUCGACACGCACGUUGUGGAGAACGAGAAGGACCGCGCCACCAGAAAUGGAACGCAAGGCUCUCAGUUGACAAAGCAAGGACCGGUAGGGUUCCGGAGAGCUUCCCCUGUUUCGUCGUCGAGGUUUUUGAUUGCGCUUCUCGCUCUUGUGCAAUCUCUGGCGUUGCUGCUCUCUCUCUCUCUCUCUCUCUCUCUCUCGCUCUGCAGAUUUCCAUCUCUCAGACACCGAUUCUGCUCUACGUAUGUACCGCUGUCAGUUUUCGAUUCCACUUCAUCUGCCCAGCUGAUCUUUUCAUACUGCGUGUUGAUUACCCCGAUUAUUGAGGUGUUGUUUUCUUUCCGGAUGUGGAGGAUCGUUCUUGCCCCUGAGCAAUUUGAAGUGGACGCUCGUCGUUACUUUGUCCAUGUUCCUCCAUGGUUAGAAUUUACGUAUGAUUUCUACCCAGAGGUCAUGAAAGCAUUAAUUGGAUUGCAUCUGUGACUUGAAAUAGGUUUGCGGUGGCUUCAGCUGUUACUUUUUUGUUCGUCUUCUUCUGGUUUUGCUGCCGUGUGAUCUAGCGAAUACAUGAUCUAGUGAACUUCGUAAUGCUAGAUGUCCCGAUUCGUGGUUUUGUUGAUUAAGUGGAUUUCAGUGUGGUGAAUUUUAGUAGCUUCGAUGGUAUAUAGAAUUGGUUCUUGAUAACCGUGCAGCGUCUCACAUGAUGGAUGACUGCUUGGUUAGUCCCCGGAUUUUUUGUUUUGUUUUUUCCUGUUUCGACAGUUUGCUUUUUCUCGUUUUGGAUCGGUUCUGUGAACGUUGAAGAGCGGGUCAUCAGGAUUUUCAUUUAGGUCAUUUUGUGGGGUAGAAAACUGUGGUGCAGGAAGUACCAGUUGCAGAUCGAGGUGGAAAAAUGAUUGCAAGGUGGGGGGGGGGGGGACAUAUGACUCCGGACCCAAUACAAAGGUCUCGUAAGGCUUGUAAAGGUAGUUUGUUUUGUCGUUGAGAGAGAUGCCAUCCAUAACCAUGUUUGUUUAUUCACUCUCUCUUCAACACACACACACGUGUUACUGCCGCAAACCUGUUAUCAUGUUUUGCCAUUAUUGAUUUUGUCUCUCUUUUAAAUCGUGGGGUCCUGGAAAAAAAAGCCUCUUGAAAACGAAGAAAUGAGGCGAACUUGUGAUUGAGCCCAUUGUUGGGUAUUGUUAUGCUGCUUCAUCUAAUCAUCAGUAUAUCUUGGGUUCGUUUGUUGCUUUUGUUCAGGUUGGUCAAUCUUCUGGGCAAAUUUACUUAAUAGAAUUUAAAUCCGAUGAUAGCAAGUCCUUUUUUUUGGGUACAGGUAUGAUUAUCCCCUUGACCAACCGAUCCUUAGAAACUGGUUGAUUCAUUGCCUCUAGAAAUAUUUCACCCAAGCUUGUCUGCCACAUUGUACUGUCUUUUAAUGUGAAGGGCAGUUUUGGUAGGCUCAUCAACUAUUAUUUUUCAUGCAUUCAAGGAAUGAGCAGAUGCCGUUUCUAUUAAGUGCCAUGAUGGUUGCGCCUACUUGGCUGUCAUUCAGUUCAAUCGUAGAUUAUUGCAUUCAUUUGUUUGAGUACUCCAUAUAUACUAUAUAUUCUAUAUACAAUUAAGUGUGUACUAUUAUGAUAUGAAAGCAUACAAUUUUAAUUUUAAUCUAAAUAUGGAAGCACAUAAGGAUAUAGAUGUUAAUCUUUACAACUUUUUAAUGCAUUACUUAAAUCAUCUAUCAAUCAAGUGAGUGUUGAUCAAGAUGCACCUUGUAUCUUUGAUGCUCAAAAUUAAUGUGUCAUGUUACAUUUUUUUUUUUGUGAAAAUUUAAAGCCACACUUCAUCUUAUUAAUGAUUUUCUUAUUUUUGGUCUUAUUUUAAGAGUUUUUUUAAAUCUUUAAUAAUAGUUAUUUUAAUUUUAAUUUUUAAACUAUUUUUUAAUUUUUUAUAUUAAUAUAGUAAUAAUAGAAUGUAUUGAAUCUUUAGUUAUUUUAUUUUAUUUUGUUUCAUGACGUUGAUAGAUUAAAAUGAAUAUGUUAACAUUAUCAAAGUUUUAUCUUUUUUAAAUUUAGAGUAGAUUAUUUUUUUUUCUUGAUAAAACAUAAGUAUAUAAGAAGUUGUAGAUUACCUAUUUUGAAAUUGGUAUUAUUUUUAAAAUUUUCUUGAUUCUUGAGUCUUUUCUUUUAUUUAUUCCAAUGAUAUUAGUUUUUUUUUUUUUUUUUUUUUUUUUUUUUUUUCCAUUGAAAUUUUAUAGCAAGACUUGUUCAAAUGAAUGAUGCAAUAGUACAAAUGUAAGAACAAAUAAGAGAGUUAAUACUUGCAAUGCAUCAAUUU